UUGUAAAAUAUUUUGUUCUUUUCUGCCUAAUGGAAUACAUAAUCUUCUUUGCAGCUCAUAAACACCGAGCGUUUUUACUCUCUUCAAUCAAUGAAAUUAAACCCAUAGACAUUGAAAAAUCACGAUAUGUUAUAAUCCCAGUUUCAAUAGAAUAAAACCCAUACGCUUCAAGCAUCUUUCGAAUGGAUCCUUCAUAAUCCAGGUAAUGUUACAUGUUUGUGAGAAAUUCAUAUUACAAGAUAUCAAUUUGCACCCAUUGAGUGCUGACUAAUCAAUUAAGAUGACAUAACAUGGUCUUGGAGGAGUCUUUGAGUUAGAUGUGUGUUCGAUAGCCCGGGAACAAAUGAUGCAAAUGUUAAAGAAAGAGAAAUAUUUGUGGCAGUGCUUCUGGCAAAAUGCACGGUACUGUAGGGUUGGUGAAGCUUGAAGGAGGCUGAUCACCAUCUUCGUCCUUGAGAUCUCAGCCUUGCGGUAAUCAGCAUGGAUAUAUGAUCUCUAAAGAAGCAGUAGAGAAAAGAAAACUUGGUUGUACAAGAUGGAAGUAAUGCUCUUUCCUCUGUUCUUUUUUUCUCCAAAGGUGUACACUAUUUGCGGACCAUUAGAGCACGAAAAUCAUCAGGCGUUUUGGAGUCAUAUGGAGCAAAAGAAGAAGAAAUUGGCUUAUUACGAAGUAGAAGGAGAAAUCGGUCAUUGUAUGAGCAGGUGCUGUUAGGAGUCCAACUGUGGUUAAGGGGUAGCCAGUUUUAUUUCAAAGAGGGGAUGUUAAAGGCACCCAUGAAGUUACUCAGGACACCCAUUAUGUUGGUGGAUCUUAUUGCUGGGGUGUACCAAAUCCAACCACCUCAUAACCCUACAUGAGAGACGACUUUUCUCUCAUUCAUCAGAUUUCAGUUUCUCUGAAUCCAGAGAAGAAUCAGAUCGAAAAUUAAAGUGGGUUCUCGUCAAGUUUCGUUGCUACAAUUGUCCGAGAAGAAAGAUUUAAUGGGUAUGAGGCUAGGUUGAGUUGCAGACAGCCGAGAGAAUAAGAUUUGAGAAGAAGGGUUUUGAUUUGAAUCUGAGAAUGGGUUCGAUCUGUAAAGAUGCUGUUCUUGAGAUGAAUUCGAGAUAUUAGAUUGGUUAAUGGCAGAGAGAUGUUGUUGCUGAGUUGUUGGGUUGAUAGAAAAUCGAACUGGUGGUGAUUUGGGUGAAGGUAUCUUGAUUCAGUUGUAGAAAAAUGGAGUCUGGGUUCCAUUUGAUGUCGAUUUUCAUGGGUUGAUAUUUGAGAGAUUGAAUCAGAGAUGGAAUUUGAGGGUUUGGUGGUUGAAGUUGCUGUUGUUAGACAGAGAGAAGAUCGAUGUGUUGGUGGUGUUGUUGAGAGGCAAAGCAACCGAACUGAGAUGGGUUUUUUGUGAAAGAUUAAAACACUGAAGUGCAGAGAAGGAGAUGAGGAAGUGAUGAAAUUGAAGCCUCUGAUGUUUCUAAUGAUGCAGGAAAAUAGCUCAAAGUAGAACUCAGAAUAAUGGGUUCUCAAAACUGUGUUGAAUGAUAGAUGUAUGUUUAGGAAUUGUGUAGGGAUGUGAAGAAGAGAACGACCUGAAUUCGGCCUGAGUAAUGCCCAUAAAUAAACAAAACUCUGUCCGAUUUUCAUACUGACGAGUUAACUCAUACCGGCCGAUGACCGAGCCAACUCAGCUGAGUAAGACCAGUUAGCCGAGUAAGAUGCUGACUCGGUGGCUGACUCACUCUCUGCCUUGACCCGUUGACUGACGGUCUGACCAGAAAGACCGUUAACUUUAACAGAACGGUGACAGAGUAUUCCUCCGGCGGUGAAGAAUCUCAGGUGAUCGGCGGCGACAAUUCCGGUCAUAUACCGGCGAUGACGUCAGCAAUUCGACGACCAGUUUUGGACCCAAAAUUCCAGAGACAUAUUUCUCACACAUGGGCUUAGUGGACCACUUGGAGAUGGGUUUUGAGAAGACCUAAUUUUGGAAAGAGUAUCCUUUUGGAAUGAGAGAAGCAUAUAAAUAGAAAACUCUUUCUCUAAACCUAGAUAUCUCCAUUAGGGAGUCUUCUACUUUGUUAUAGGGUUUAGAAACAUGAUAGGUUUUCUCUUCCCUCUUGUUAUGAACUCCAUAAAUAUGAGCUAAUUUAUUUUAUUAUUGA